rnacentral:tmRNA from 1 species
GGGGGCGUAAGGAUUCGACGAGGGUUUAGGAGAUAGGAACGGCAGGUCCAGGACCAUGGCCUGGUAAAAACAUGGAACGGCUAUAAACGCCAACGAUAAUUUAGCUUACGCUGCUUAGUUAAAAGUAGCGCGUUCCCCCCUUUCCCUGGCCGGGGGGGAGGAUGGGAGCGUCACUAAGCCGGUCUACCUCGGGGGCGGUUGCUUCACCACCACCGGGGGAAUUCUAACGAAGCUGGCCCUGAAAGGAUCGGGCUCCGGGGAUCCGGCAGGGCAAGAAUGAACCGGGGGCUAAACCUGUAGAAGUUUCUAUAACCGGGCUUUCGGACGCGGGUUCGAUUCCCGCCGCCUCCACCA